UGGUUCUUAAACCGGUUGAUUCAGACCUUUGUUCACCUGAUUACAGAGUUUGAGAUGCAUAUAGUAUCUUGUUUAACUGUAAUUUAUACUAAAUAAACACAGAAUGUUAUGAGUUAUGAUAAAAAUAUGUAUUUUCUUGAAAUUAAUAAAAGAUGUAUUAUUUUCGGAAGAAAUGUAUAUAUUUUCUCAAACACACAUGAAAUACAUUAUUUUUGA
rnacentral:lncRNA from 1 species